AUUGAACGCUGGCGGCAGGCCUAACACAUGCAAGUCGAACGAGUGGCGGACGGGUGAGUAAUGUCUGGGACACUGCCUGAUGGAGGGGGAUAACUGCUGGAAACGGUCGCUAAUACCGCAUACCAUCAGAUGUGCCCAGAUGGGCUGAGCUUGUUGGUUGGGUAAAGGACCACAAAGGCGACGAUCCCUAGCUGGUCUGAGAGGAUGACCAGCCACACUGGAACUGAGACACGGUACAGACUCCUACGGGAGGCAGGAGUGGGGAAGAUUGCACAAGGGGCGCAAGCCUGAUGCAGCCAUGCCGCGUGUAUGAAGAAGGCCUUCGGGUUGUAAAGUACUUUCAGCGGGGAGGCGUUACCCGCAGAAGAAGCACCGGCUAACUCCGUGCCAGCAGCCGCGGUAAUUC
rnacentral:rRNA from 1 species